rnacentral:rRNA from 1 species
GUGGGGGAGGAAGGCUCUUGGGUUGUAAACCUCUUUUCUCAGGGAAGACUUCGGACGGUACCUGAGGAAUAAGCAUCGGCUAACUCCGUGCCAGCAGCCGCGGUAAUACGGAGGAUGCAAGCGUCAUCCGGAAUGAUUGGGCGUAAAGCGUCCGCAGGUGGCAGUGUAAGUCUGCUGUCAAAGAGUCUGGCUCAACCAGAUAAAGGCAGUGGAAACUACACAGCUAGAGUACGUUCGGGGCAGAGGGAAUUCCUGGUGUAGCGGUGAAAUGCGUAGAGAUCAGGAAGAACACCGGUGGCGAAAGCGCUCUGCUAGGCCGUAACUGACACUGAGGGACGAAAGCUAGGGGAGCGAACGGGAUUAGAUACCCCAGUAGUCCUAGCCGUAAAUGAUGGAUACUAGGUGUUGCUUGUAUCGACCCGAGCAGUACCGUAGCUAACGCGUUAAGUAUCCCGCCUGGGGAGUACGCAGGCAACUGUGAAACUCAAAGGAAUUGACGGGGGCCCGCACAAGCGGUGGAGUAUGUGGUUUAAUUCGAUGCAACGCGAAGAACCUUACCAGGGCUUGACAUGUCGCGAAUUCCGGGGAAACUCGGAAGUGCCUUCGGGAGCGCGAACACAGGUGGUGCAUGGCUGUCGUCAGCUCGUGUCGUGAGAUGUUGGGUUAAGUCCCGCAACGAGCGCAACCCUCGUUUUUAGUUGCCAUCAUUAAGUUGGGCACUCUAGAGAGACUGCCGGUGACAAACCGGAGGAAGGUGGGAUGACGUCAAGUCAGCAUGCCCCUUACGUCCUGGGCUACACACGUACUACAAUGCUCCGGACAGAGGGCAGCGAGCAUGCAAAUGCAAGCUAAUCCCGUAAACCGGAGCUCAGUUCAGAUCGCAGGCUGCAACUCGCCUGCGUGAAGUUGGAAUCGCUAGUAAUUGCAGGUCAGCAUACUGCGGUGAAUUCGUUCCCGGGCCUUGUACACACCGCCCGUCACACCAUGGAAGCUGGUAGUGCCCGAAGUCAUUACCCCAACCUUCGGGAGGGGGAUGCCUAAGGCAGGA